GCUCCCUUAGUUUAAUGGUUAAAACGGGUCGCUUAUAACGGCUUAAUGCGGUUUCGACUACCGCAGGGAGUA
rnacentral:tRNA from 1 species